CUCAUUCAAUUUCGGUAUUCAG
rnacentral:miRNA from 1 species